UGGGAAGUUUCUGAUUGGCCUGGUUCACA
rnacentral:piRNA from 1 species